rnacentral:rRNA from 1 species
UACGGAGGUCCCGAGCGUUGUUCGGAUUCAUUGGGCGUAAAGGGUGCGUAGGUGGCGCUGUAAGUGGGGUGUGAAAUCCCGGGGCUUAACCCCGGGACUGCAUUCCAUACUGCGGUGCUUGAGGACUGGAGAGGAGACUGGAAUUUACGGUGUAGCAGUGAAAUGCGUAGAGAUUGUAAGGAAGACCAGUGGCGAAGGCGGGUCUCUGGACAGUUCCUGACGCUGAGGCACGAAGGUCAGGGGAGCAAACGGG